rnacentral:lncRNA from 1 species
UAAUACUCCUAGUCACCACAGGGUUCACCAUGGUAAUGAAGUUCAAUUUCUUCUUUCUUUCCUUUUUCACCUCUGCAAAAAAUUAUUGCCAAAUAUACUUUCAGGGGCAAAAUGUUCUCCCACCAAACAGAGAACCAUCAUUUAGAACAUGGAUGGCAGUGGAAUAUGCCUCUGUCUAACCAGUCUCAUUCUGCUUUUGUCUAUGCUUCAAAUACACAUAUUUGCAUGUAUGGAAGGCAGAAAUCGUUAUUGUAUAGACAAAAAUUAUGCUGGCACUCUUAUUAUUUGGGAUAGAAUUUUUGGUAAGUAAAAAGUAUGAAAAAUCAAAAAAUUAAAUUAGAUGCUUUAUUCAUAGGAAAAUCAAAGAACCUAUCUUAGUGUUUGUCUUCCAGGGACAUUUGAAGCAGAGAAUGAACAAGUUGCAUAUGGUCUUACACAUCCUAUUAAUACAUUUGAACCAUUCAAGGUGCAGGUAAUGCAAUUGUUCUUUUUCUUUCUUA